UACGUAGGGUGCAAGCGUUGUCCGGAAUUAUUGGGCGUAAAGAGCUCGUAGGCGGUCUGUCGCGUCGGCUGUGAAAACCUGGGGCUCAACUCCGGGCCUGCAGCCGAUACGGGCAGACUAGAAUUCGGUAGGGGAGACUGGAAUUCCUGGUGUAGCGGUGAAAUGCGCAGAUAUCAGGAGGAACACCGGUGGCGAAGGCGGGUCUCUGGGCAAUAACUGACGCUGAGGAGCGAAAGCGUGGGGAGCGAACAGG
rnacentral:rRNA from 1 species